AACCGGUCCAUCUCCAACCCCACUACUACUUCAAAAUCCCACUACUCUUGAAACACACCUGCCGGCAUCCAUCUCUCUCUCCCAACUCCUCAACCGCUCUCUCUCUCCCAACUCCUCAACCGCCCACGCCUCUCUCCCACAACCCCACCCCCCUCUCUCUCUCACUCUCAUGGGCUAUGAAUACCCCAUUUUGUCUCAUAUGCGCCUUUCAGAGGCCAGGUUCAGAGACAAGGGCCAUCUUCCAGAGACGAGGUUCAGAGACGGGAAUCAAUUGUUGAUCACAGGCCUUCAGGAAUUUCAACCAAGUACAAUUGACUGCCAAUCUCUCUUGGGUUUUUGAUGGUUGUGUGAAAAUUUGCUAUUUUGUGAACUGGGUAUGCACCAAUGCUUCUGGGUUUUGUAAUUUUUCUGAAUUCUGGCUAUUGGGGUUUACAGUAUGACCUUGGUUUUGAUGUUGUUUAGAGGUUUUCGAAGUUUGAUUAGGAUGAUUUUGGUGGCCUGGUGGGUAUAUCAAGUCGGCUUAUGAAUGUUAUUGUGGAGGUUCAUUUUCAAAAAUCAGAAAAAAGAAAAAGAAAAA